UGGGGAAUAUUGCACAAUGGGCGCAAGCCUGAUGCAGCCAUGCCGCGUGUGUGAAGAAGGCCUUCGGUUGUAAAGCACUUUCAGCGAGGAGGAAGGUGGUGAGCUUAAUACGCUCAUCAAUUGACGUUACUCGCAGAAGAAGCACCGGCUAACUCCGUGCCAGCAGCCGCGGUAAUACGGAGGGUGCAAGCGUUAAUCGGAAUUACUGGGCGUAAAGCGCACGCAGGCGGUUUGUUAAGUCAGAUGUGAAAAUCCCCGGGCUCAACCUGGGAACUGCAUUUGAAACUGGCAAGCUAGAGUCUCGUAGAGGGGGGUAGAAUUCCAGGUGUAGCGGUGAAAUGCGUAGAGAUCUGGAGGAAUACCGGUGGCGAAGGCGGCCCCCUGGACGAAGACUGACGCUCAGGUGCGAAAGCGUGGGGAGCAAAACAGGAUUAGAUACCCUGGUAGUCCAGCGCUGUAAAACGAUGUCGAUUUUGGAGGUUGUGCCCUUGAGGCGUGGCUUCCGGAGCUAACGCGUUAAAUCGACCGCCUGGGGAGUACGGCCGCAAGGUUAAAAACUUAAAAGGAAUUGACGGGGUCAUAGCUGUUUCCU
rnacentral:rRNA from 1 species